rnacentral:rRNA from 1 species
GUUGUAUAGUUAAGUGACUAAGCGUACAAGGUGGAUGCCUUGGCAAUCAGAGGCGAAGAAGGACGUGCUAAUCUGCGAAAAGCUUGGAUGAGUCGAUAAGAGGCGCUUAAUCCAAGAUAUCCGAAUGGGGAAAC